rnacentral:lncRNA from 1 species
GCAGAAAUCAGGGUCCGAAUGGAUUGAUCUAUUCGGCCCAAUUUAGGUUUUUCAGGGGCCCAAUUGCCCCAAGAUUAAGUUAAUGGGAUCACCUCUCAUUUCCAACUUAAUCAUUGUGCUAACUACGAUAUUUCCUAAGACAUUUACUGUAACUUGCCCCGGUGCGUCAAUCGCUUCUUCCGGCGAGCUUCCGACGAACUUCCGUCGAUCAUCCGAUGAACCCUCAGUGAUGCUCC